AAGACCUUGCGCUUUUGGAGCGGCCGAUGCCUGAUUAGCUUGUUGGUAAGGUAAAAGCUUACCAAGGCUUCGAUCAGUAGCUGGUCUGAGAGGACGACCAGCCACACUGGGACUGAGACACGGCCCAGACUCCUACGGGAGGCAGCAGUGGGGAAUUUUGGACAAUGGGCGCAAGCCUGAUCCAGCCAUGCCGCGUGAGUGAAGAAGGCCUUCGGGUUGUAAAGCUCUUUCAGCCGGGAAGAAAAGGUUGCGAUUAAUAAUCGCGGUUUAUGACGGUACCGGAAGAAGAAGCACCGGCUAACUACGUGCCAGCAGCCGCGGUAAUACGUAGGGUGCGAGCGUUAAUCGGAAUUACUGGGCGUAAAGGGUGCGCAGGCGGUUUUGUAAGUCAGAUGUGAAAUCCCCGGGCUUAACCUGGGAACU
rnacentral:rRNA from 1 species